CAAUAGCGUAUAUUAAAGUUGUUGCGGUUAAAAGCUCGUAGUUGGAUUUCUGUUGAAGACGGUCGGUCCGCUCUAUGAGCGUGUAUCUGAUUCGGCUUUGGCAUCCUCGUGGGGAACGUAACUGUGCUUGAUUGCAUGGUGCGGUAUUCACGACUUUUACUUUGAGGAAAUUAGAGUGUUCACAGCAGGCAAGCGCCUUGAAUACAUUAGCAUGGAAUAAUAAUAUAGGAUCUCGGUUCUAUUUUGUUUGGUUUCUUAGAAUCAGGAUAAUGAUUAAUAGGGAUAAUUGGGGGCGAUUUGUAUUAACGCGUCAGAGGUGGAAUUCUUGGAUUGCGUUACGACAAACU
rnacentral:rRNA from 1 species